rnacentral:rRNA from 1 species
UACGUAGGGUGCAAGCGUUGUCCGGAUUUAUUGGGCGUAAAGCGCUCGUAGGUGGUUCGGUAAGUCGGAUGUGAGAUCUCCAGGCUCAACCUGGAGGGGUCAUUCGAUACUGCCGUGACUAGAGUUCGGUAGGGGAGUGUGGAAUUCCUGGUGUAGCGGUGGAAUGCGCAGAUAUCAGGAGGAACACCGGUGGCGAAGGCGGGUCUCUGGGCCAUAACUGACGCUGAGAAGCGAAAGCAUGGGGAGCGAACAGG